rnacentral:rRNA from 1 species
UACGUAGGGGGCGAGCGUUGCUCGGAAUUACUGGGCGUAAAGGGUUCGUAGGCGGUCGGGCCAGUCGGCGGUGAAAUCUCCCGGCUUAACUGGGAGGGGUCCGCCGAAACUACCUGACUAGAGGGCCGGAGAGGCGAGUGGAAUUACCGGUGUAGCGGUGAAAUGCGUAGAGAUCGGUAGGAACACCGGAGGCGAAGGCGGCUCGCUGGACGGCUCCUGACGCUGAGGAACGAAAGCUGGGGGAGCAAACAGG